UACUACAAAGACGUGUACUCGGCGCUGUUGUGGAGCAUUCGUUCAGUAGACAUCAAGUUAAAAGCAUCCAGUGCAUUUCCGCCUCCUGACUUUGCUUUGGUUUUCAAGUCUGUUUGAACCUGAAAUAUUAGCCAGAAUGAAGGUUUACAUGUGCCUGCUUCUCCUGAUGGUCGUUGGAUGUGCCUUGUGUUUCGCAGACACGGACGACCUUCUUGCUGAGGAGUUGAUGCAAGAACUGCAAUCUCGCGAGAUAGUGAAGAAGACAUAUUGCACAUCUGAGGCCGAUUGUUCUCGUUUAAGGACAUGUUGGUUUGGCCGGUGCGUGGAUUACUGACAAUCAACAUGAAUGACUUAAACCAUGUUCGUCAGUGAAUGACCGACAGCAAGUCUUUAUUUUGAUUAAAUAUAAAUAUUUGAUAUUCAUUCGGCUCAGAUCUUCUUGUUACAACAAGAUUGUCUCAAUUUUGUUGUAACAACACUAGGUCCGUGUUCCAGCUUUCCCCCCGUUGAUUCCGUAACAGUACUGUUUUUUUGGAAAAGCUGCUCACUGUACAUUUUAAGAGUGAUAUUAAAACCAAAAUGAAACAAAAAUAUAUAUUAUCGAUCCAUGAAUAUAUUUAACUAUCGGCACAUUUGAAUUUUUCGCAGAACGCAUACAAAUCCUGAAGAUAAAUUCUUCUCUUCUCUCAUUUAAGUGACACGAAUUAUAAGCUCGAGCAUGGACUUAAUAAAAAUGAUGUCAACUAUUUGUUAUGUCAAAAAAAAAUAUAUACGUUAACUUCUAGUUUGUUUCUGUCCGAAAUGUUUUUGUUCUUGGGUUUUUGGGUAUAGGUCUAUUACUGGUGCGUGGUUAUCAUCUUCCGUGAUGAUAGGUUAAAUCCACUUUUAAAAUAUUCGUUCAUAUUCUUCCUGCAUGUAUCGCAUAAGCAACGCUGGGAUAUGUAGAAACGUUUGCAUCCGAGGAUUUUUGUUUUGGAAAAGGCGGAACACUUUCUUAGGGUUAGCCACCAAUCUUUCUUCAUUUAAAAAUUCGUAAUAUAAAAAGCCGUUUCCUCUCCGAGUGAUCCCCGUGUGCCAUUUCCCAGGUGUGUAUCGUAACUUUGGGUGUGAUCCCUGGCUGUAUGGCAUACU